ensembl:snoRNA SNORA63 Small nucleolar RNA SNORA63
GUGCAGGUUUAGUUACGGACUGGCUGUUGCAGUGCUUGUUCGUCGUUCCCCCUGCAGAAAUAAACAUGUUUCCUACUAUCCCUGUCUGUCUACUACUUAGAUCUGCAGGGACGCUUGGUCUCAGACAU